AACGAACGCUGGCGGCAUGCCUAACACAUGCAAGUCGAACGAGACCUUCGGGUCUAGUGGCGCACGGGUGCGUAACGCGUGGGAACCUGCCCUUAGGUUCGGAAUAACUCCCCGAAAGGGGUGCUAAUACCGGAUAAUGUCUUCGGACCACAGAUUUAUCGCCUUUGGAUGGGCCCGCGUUGGAUUAGCUAGUUGGUAGGGUAAAAGCCUACCAAGGCGACGAUCCAUAGCUGGUCUGAGAGGAAGAUCAGCCACACUGGGACUGAGACACGGCCCAGACUCCUACGGGAGGCAGCAGUGGGGAAUAUUGGACAAUGGGCGAAAGCCUGAUCCAGCAAUGCCGCGUGAGUGAUGAAGGCCUUAGAGUUGUAAAGCUCUUUUACCCGGGAUGAUAAUGACAGUACCGGGAGAAUAAGCACCGGCUAACUCCGUG
rnacentral:rRNA from 1 species